rnacentral:rRNA from 1 species
CCUACGGGAGGCAGCAGUGGGGGAUAUUGGACAAUGGGGGAAACCCUGAUCCAGCGACGCCGCGUGAGUGAAGAAGUAUUUCGGUAUGUAAAGCUCUGUCAGCAGGGAAGAAAGAAAUGACGGUACCUGACCAAGAAGCCCCGGCUAACUACGUGCCAGCAGCCGCGGUAAUACGUAGGGGGCAAGCGUUAUCCGGAAUUACUGGGUGUAAAGGGAGCGUAGGCGGUGAGGUAAGUCUGGAGUGAAAGGCGGGGGCCCAACCCCCGGACUGCUCUGGAAACUGUGUAACUUGAGUGCAGGAGAGGUAAGCGGAAUUCCUAGUGUAGCGGUGAAAUGCGUAGAUAUUAGGAAGAACACCAGUGGCGAAGGCGGCUUACUGGACUGAAACUGACGUUGAGGCUCGAAAGCGUGGGGAGCAAACAGGAUUAGAUACCCUAGUAGUC